GCCGCGCUCGUUUCCCCGCGCGCGGAGCCGAGGCCCGGGCUGGCCGCUCCUAGUGGUGCCCGGGGAGGGGAGGGCGCGGGCCCCGGAGGUCGGCUCAGCUGUGGCGCCGCGUUUGCCGGGAGACGCUCGCCCGGCCCGCGCGCUGCCGCCGGACCCGUUACUACUUUUUUUUUUUUCUCCUGAGACGGAGUUUCGCUCUGGUUGUCCAGGCUGGAGUGCAAUGGCGCGAUCUCGACUCACCGCAACCUCCGCCUUCCGGGUUCAAGCGAUUCUCAUGCCUCAGCCUCCCGAGUAGCUGGAUUACAGGCAUGCGCCACCACGCCCGGCUAAUUUUCUAUUUUUAGUAGAGACGGGUCUUGGUCAGGCUGGUCUCGAACUCCCGACUUCUGGUGAUCCGCCCGCCUCGGCCUCCCAAAGUGCUGGGAUUACAGGCGUGAGCCACCGCCGCCGACCCGGGCCCUGUUUGAUUAUGUCUGCUGCUGCCUUGGCCGUUUUUUCCCCCACCGCUGGACUUUGGCUGGCCGAGCUUGCAGUGCUUAUCGCCCUAGAAACCUGUGAAAGGGCGACAUUGCUGCCAUUUCAGACCCUUCCACUGUUCGUAGUUCUAAGCACGUGUCAGUGUUAAAAAUCCUUUAUCAAGAUGAGCACUGU
rnacentral:lncRNA from 10 species